rnacentral:snoRNA from 1 species
ACUGAGGAAUGAUGACAAUAAAAGGCCGAAUUGCAGUGUCUCCACAAGCAGUUGCUCUCUUUGGAAGCACAAUGACAAAGUCACCUGAAGCGAAUUAUUAGUCUGACCUCAGU